rnacentral:rRNA from 1 species
GACGAACGCUGGCGGCGUGCCUAAUACAUGCAAGUAGAACGAGUUGCGAACGGGUGAGUAACGCGUGGUAACCUGCCUCAUAGCGGGGGAUAACUCUUGGAAACGAUAGCUAAUACCGCAUACUGUGAGAGCGACCUGCGUUGUAUUAGCUAGUUGGUGGGGUAACGGCUCACCAAGGCGACGAACCCUAGCUGGUCUGAUAGGAUGACCAGCCAAACGGGAGCGGAGACACGGUCCAGAUUCCGACGGGAGGCAGAAGUGGGUAAUAUUGCACAAGUGGCGCAAGCCUGAUACAGCCAGGCCGAGUGUAUGAAGAGGGCCUUCGGGUUGUAAAGUACUUUCAGCGGGGAGGCGUUACCCGCAGAAGAAGCACCGGCUAACUCCGUGACAGCAGCCGCGGUAAUAC